UACGGGGGGAGCAAGCGUUGUUCGGAAUUACUGGGCGUAAAGCGCGCGCAGGCGGUCUUCCAAGUCAGUGGUGAAAGCCCGGAGCUCAACUCCGGAACUGCCAUUGAAACUGUAAGACUUGAGGACGAGAGAGGUGAGUGGAAUUCCCAGUGUAGAGGUGAAAUUCGUAGAUAUUGGGAAGAACACCGGUGGCGAAGACGGCUCACUGGCUCGUUUCUGACGCUCAGGCGCGACAGCGUGGGGAUCAAACAGG
rnacentral:rRNA from 1 species